GGUGCCUGUCACCUAGCAGCCUGGUGGGAAUGCAACAUGAGACGGGAAGAGCAAUGAAGCAGCAAAAGAAUAAAAGGUUCAAAAAGACAGGAAAAGAAACAGCUCUGAAAGAAAAACAACAAUUCCUUCACUUCCAGUUUCUGUUAACGCUCCUGCCUUUACAUGUACAGCCACUCAUCUGUUCAUUGAAUCACCAAAAGUUAUCAAUAACAAUUCUGAGCAACACCAGAUGUCACUACAAUGUCUGGGAGAGAAACUCGAAUGGCACUACCCAAGUCAGCAGCAUCCCGUGCCUCGGUACCCCGGCUCUGCACUGACCCAGCUCCACCUGGCACCACCAGCUUCCGAACUGCUGUCCCAGCCGGCAUGAAGGAUGCUCCAAAUCAAACUACCCCUUGCGUCUCACCAGGCGGCUCCUACUUCCCAGGAAAGCUGUGUGCUUUCUAAUACCCCGUCUUUACAUCUUAUAUAUAUUCCUCUCUGCUCUUGAACACACUCUGCAAUGAACUCAUGGAUUUAAACAAAUUCUGACUUUGUAAAUGCAACUUGCAUUGCUUUCAUCUAAAUUAUAAGACAAGUUUACUCUCUCCUACUACUUUACUCAGCACAUGCUAUGUUCAUAUAAGAAGGGGCUCAAAUCACUCUUAAUACCUGAAUAUGCACAUGAAACUUUGCAACACAUCAGUUACAUUAGGAAUUUAGAAAUACGAGAUUUUGGUGAAGCACAAGAAAUUUCUACUGGAUCGUCAAAAGCUUCCUGUGGAAAUGCUGACAGCUGUACUAAAAACAACUGGAAGCCAGUUAAAAACAAACUGCAUAAAAAACAUUUAUUAACAUGUUAUUGAGGACCAUUCUGCCAGCAGGAGAGUACUCUAGACAACUAAAUAAAUGUCUAUUUCCCACUUCUCUGAUUAAGAGGAUACCAGGGAAGUUACACAGGGGAUAUGGCUGUUUGCUUUGAGGUGGAAGCCCUCUGCUGGUUAACAUAAACUAAUUAAAGCACUAAUCUGAAUGUUUUUGUAGAUAACAGAACCACAAAGAACAAGAAAGGAGAGAGUGGCUGAUAAAGCAGCAGAGAAGAAUCGUCAGUAGUCUCAGAAAUCCUCAUUCUUCAUCUUAUUUACCGUGCCAAUAAAUGCAAAAGGUGCU